GGAGCUGGGGCUGGAGAUGGAGCUGGGGCUGGAGCUGGAGCUGGAGCUGGAGCUGGGCCGGGCCCAGUGUGAGAGUCCAGGGCUGCAGGACUGUGUGUGGCAGAAACAUCCAUCCAAUGUGGGCAUUUUCUACCUUUCUGCUGAAGUUUAAAUACCCAAGGAAGGACAGAGCUACUGUGAUCGGAUGAGGAAACUAUUGCUGAUACAUCAAAUUUGUGAAGACCUAAAGCCUCUAGUAGAAAUUAGAAGGAUGAAAUGCAUGAUUUGCUGUUUUACAUUGCAAUUUGCUGUGGUACUGGGGGUUAACAUCUGUCAAUCACAGUGAAUGAUCUAGUUGAAAUUAAACCCAGUAACAUUUGAAAAUAUAUCAAUACCCUUAAACAUCAGUGUACAAGGUUUUCCUCCAGGAAGAUGAUUAUUUGUAAUGGGGAGCCCCUGUUUCUCAUGAGCUGAAGAUUUCAGUGACAGUGCAUCAAAAAUUUAUUGAAUUGAGAUUAUAAUAAGAAGCAACAAGGUAGAGCCCCCAGAACAGAGAUGAAAAACAGAGAGGCCAGUGUUUGACUGAACAGUGAAUGUUCUUAAGAGGUGUAUGCAGUAUAAAUGGAAAGCCAAAAUGAACAAACAACAUAAGAAUGGGAAAUAAUUUGCAUUUAUCCUAAAAACUAAAUGUAUUCUCCUUUAAAUUGUGUCAGAUGGCUUGCCAAACAAGUUCUUUGGUAACAACACCCAUUAUGAAAGAGCCAUAACUCUGUUCAGAAGUGAUAGCUUUUAUCAUUAUCAUUGAUUCAAAGAAUUGGAUACGUGGAUGACUUUGGAAAAGGCUGUUUACUGUUUCAUGUCCAAAGUGAAGUCGUUCUGUCUCCUCAGAAGAAUAAUUCAAUUAACCUGUGCGGGCUGAGAAGCAGGCAGUAAGUGCUGUGGUAUUCUCAGAGCUCAGAAGCACGUCAGCUGGUGUUUUGAGUCUGAGCGAAUAAAGAUGUAUUGCCUACGCAUAUAAUCGGUACCACAUGGCCGUAGUAGCUGCACUGAUGUACUUUACAUACAGAAGGCUCAGGACAGCAAGAGUUGGCAAGUAUUUGAUGGUAAAGAAACUCAAGACCAGCUAAUAUUGCUGUGGUAGGUACCUUUGCUUUUCAUUAUCACAGAAAUGACUUAGGCAUGAAUGGUGAGUUGAGCACAGUGUAUUUUCAACUCAUACCAACUCAGGUUUAAAUUAAGUUUGUAGAUACCUUCUGCACCUCUCUAAAAAUGUUAAAAACCCAAACCAGCACCAGCACCUCAUCUUCUUUGGGGGCAGCAGACUGUCUUUAAGUGUAGGGAAACCGCACUUCCAUUGCUUUUCUAUACUGAGAUUUUUUUUCUCAUUAACUCAUGCUCCCAUAUGUAUUUACUUGUUUAAAUGAGUAGUGUUCUGUAUUCCAUGGUAAAAAUAUUUCACCCUUGUUGCAGUAUAGUUUUUCCUCAUGGUAUGACAUGGCGUUCUUCAGAGGGGUUUCAAAGGCCAAAAGUCAAACUGAAGUACUGAGACUCCUUUCCAGGUCUUCAUUAAUUUUACCAAAGCUAACUCUGAGUUGAGAAGUGAGAUGAAAGACCAAGUGCAGAGAUGAGAUAAUCAUAAUAUGAAGAGGAUGAGAACCAUGAUUUUUGGAAUCACGGUACAUAAAGUAGCGCUUCCCAUGACCUAACAGGCUGGUGUAUGGUGAAUACAAGUGGCAGUAACCAGUGGCCAGGAACACCCUCGUCUGGUAGAACCGCUGUCUGGUGCUGGAUUUCAGUAUUCUGAAGCUCAGCAGUGCCCUUCGGGGUGUGUGCUGCUGCAUGUGUCCAUCACACCGUGCUGCAUGUGUCCAUCACAUUGUGCUGUAUAAGUUGGGGAAUGACCUAUUAGAGAGCAGCGUAGGGGAAAGGGACCUGGGGGUCCUGGGGACAGCAGGGUGACCAUGAGCCAGCACUGGGCCCUUGUGGCCAGGAAGCCAAUGGUACCUGGGGUGGGUUAGAAGGGGGUGGUCAGUAGGUCAGAGAGGUUCUCCUGCCCCUCUGCUCUGCCCUGGGGAGACCACACCUGGAAUAUUGUGUCCAGUUGUGGCCCCUCAGUUCCAGCAGGACAGGGAACUGCUGCAGAGAGUCCAGCGCAGCCACCAAGAUGCUGGAGGGAGUGGAGCAUCUCCCGUGUGAGGAAAGGCUGAGGGAGCUGGGGCUCUGGAGCUGGACAAGAGGAGACUGAGGGGGGACUCAUUCCUGGGGAUCAAGAUGGAAAGGGGGAGUGUCAGGAGGAUGGAGCCAGGCUCUUCUGGUGACAACCAGUGACAGGACAAGGGGCAAUGGGUGCAAAUGGGAACACAAGAGGUUCCACUUAAAUUUGAGAAGAAAGUUCUUCCCGGUGAGGGUGGCAGAGCCUGGCCCAGGCUGCCCAGGGAGGUUGUGGAGUCUCCUUCUGUGCAGACAUUCCAACCCGCCUGGACACCUUCCUGUGUAACCUCAUCUGGGUGUUCCUGCUCCAUGGGGGGAUUGCACUGGAUGAGCUUUCCAGGUCCCUUCCCAUCCCUGACGUUCCCUGAUUCUGUGAUUCUGUGUGUGUCCAUCACACCGUGCUGUGUGUGUCCAUCGUGCGGUGCUGCUGAAGAGAUGGGAGCAGCUCAAAACUGCACAAAAAGGCUGCAAGUCCUGUAUGGUUCAUUACUGAAGAUUCAUCAAUAUUAACAGCAGAGUCUGGGAAGUCCAUAAUUUGUGUUACUGUUCAAGUCAGCUCUGUGUGUUCGUAUGAGCAAAUUAACGUUUGCUCCUGUUUGGUGUCUAAUCCUCAUGAUGUGUUUGGCUGUGGUGGCCUGGGCACAGCUCACAGAGCCUCUGGACAGGAGAGGAGUCUACACUUUUAGUUGUACUCCUUUAUAAUGCUUGAAACAGUAGUUUAAGUCUACUGAUAAAGUCACUCCACUCAAUAUCUACAGUGGAGGUCCUCUACUGAUAUAACUACAUAAAGACAGCACCUCUAAGAUGUCUGAGUUCUGUGUUUCCCGCACUGGGAGACUCGGUGUCAUUGGCAUUAACAGGUGCAGGAGCUGCUAAAGGCAUCUAUCAAUUAAUGCCAUGUGUCAUUUUAAAGUUCUCUGCUGUGUUAUGCUGCCUUGUUGCCUCCUCUUUGCCACCAGGCAGCACUACCCACCCUGACACAGGAAACCAGCGGUGGCAGAGGGACGAGGCCAGUUCUGUGGGAAUGGAGACAUGCAGACUCUUUGGAGCUCUUCACCGAGCUGCUCUGCACAGCAAACGCUGGGGAUUUCUGUCAAGACCUCAUUUUCGCCACCCUUGAGCUGAGCAGUAAAUUUCCCUGAGCCUGGGUAACCUGACAGGUUUAUGUGGAGCAGCCCUCGUUGAUAAGAGCGAGGGUAAAACAUUUCCUCGCAGAUUGUACUCAACCUGGCCUGAAUAAAUGAAAUAACCAACGUAACCUGUGAUGCUGCUCUGAUGAUGAGGGUCAUUUGGUUCCAGAACGGGCAGGAAAACAAAGCAGCAAGCAAGCUCACCAGGCGGCAGCUCUGUCAAAAGACAGUCAGUCCUGUUUCAGUGGCUUUUAGUAAGGGAGGAAUGGGAUAUAAUGUAAUAAAAUAAAGCAGCCAAAGCCAAGGACAGCUUUACUGCUUGUACAGCUUCUAACUGUGCCUGGCUUUACAAAGGAAGAGACAGAAUGCAAGGAAAAUCAAAACUGUGGUUUCAAAAAUAGGAUUGUGGCUCCGAUGCACACAGUAUUUCAAAAAGAACUUUGUGCAAUAUCUUUGUCUGAAUGUUAUAGUCUCCAGUGCUGGAGUAUUCACAUGUGUAUAGUGUAAAUUCUCCAGUUCUUUUAGGAUACAGAUGGCAUUAGCAAGAAGCUUUCAUUUUUUUCUUCAGACUUUUCCAGGAAAACAAACUGCAGAUGAUGUCAUGUUUACAACAGUUUGUAUUUCUGUCUACGUGUAUUAAUGCUGAGGUACACGAAGUCAACUUAAACUAUAACAUCUAAUUUUUUUCUGGUAAGGUGCCUGUUUAUCUGUUGUGUUGAUUAACGCUGCGGUAGGUAGGGAUUUAUCACCUUUGUCCGAGUUUGUCUUUAUUAUCUUGAAAAUUCGUGUUAUAUUAAAAUGUUUUGAGUAAAAAUAACUACUCAUUUUUUCUAUGAGAGUAUUUUAAGAUGAUAUUAUUUAUAGUGACUAUUACCUUUUGCCAGUUUGUCUCCAAAUGACUGCAGAUGGAAAGCAAAUGUAGAUCAGCUGUGAGAACUUGGGCCUGCAGAUUUGCUGCCCUGAAAGAGCAUAAUCCACACAGCUGCACUUUUCUCUCUGAGCUUUGUGAGCAGUUAUUUGGGAUAGAACUAUGGGAAAGAGAGAUGUCUGUGUUUUCCUUAUAUUUAGAAUACAAAGGGUAAGUAGGAAACUCGCUUGUAGGAGUUUUUCCUUGAUCGUUUCCAUAUUGUCUCAAGAAUAAACUUUGAAUUUUUUAAAAGGAGAAAAACGUUAAUUUUCAAAACUGGAAGUGUCUCUUCGCCCUUCAUCUACAAUGAAAUAAAAAGCUAUUUAGAGCCCAGAGUUUGAACCUGGGGUGGGAAAUGAGGUGUGCGUCUUGACUUCCGUACCUGGCAGAUUGUGACAAGACUGAGAGGCGGAUUCUCUGUGCCAUAAUUUUAUUGCAUUUUUUUCAGUGAAUCAUCUGGUUCUCUGUGUUUUCUGUCUUGGCAGAAAUGUAUCUGUGUGUUAUCAGAAAUAAAAAAGGUUGUGCGGCUGGUAGCAUCUUGUUAGAACAGCAGAGGAAAGCUGGGCAGGUUCUCAGGAAUCUCUGCUGAAACUGUUGUGCUUCUGCCAAAACCAGGUACCGAAGGUUCUGCACCUCUUCAGUGGCAACGGCCGGGCCGGCUGUGCUGCUCAGAACAUCGGCGCUUACCUUUGAAUGGACCUUCUGGCUUGUCCUCAGGAUGGGACGAUGCCCUGGUCUGCACCUGAACAGGACGAGCCGUCAGCAAACGUUUGGGUGAUGAGACUGUUUUGUGUGUUGGAGCAGUACGUGUUACAGCAGCUCCUUGUACUGGAGAUUUUAACUGUCUUCAGAGAGGAUAUAUCAGCAUAAUUACUGCAAGUGGAGAAUAUUACCAUGGUGAUUCCACGAGACUUACCGGAAAGAUCCUCAGGAAUGUACCAAGUGUAGAAAUAUUUACCUCAACCAAGGUGGACAUACGAGCAGAAACUUGUUUGCUGGGAGGUGCCAGAGCCUGGCCCAGGCUGCCCAGAGCGGGUGUGGAGUCUCCUGCUCUGAGACAUUCAAACCGCCUGGACCCACCUGUGUGAUCUGCUCUGUGACCCUGCGGGAGCAGUGGGGCUGGGGAUCCAUGGAGGUCCUGCAGCCCAGCCAGCCCGGGGUUCUGUGACCUUCGGUGAUGACUGAGAUCAAACCCCCGCGUGCUGCUGCUGUCCCGUGGCCACCGCCUGUGCCUGACGUCUAGUGUAAGAAGCACAGCAGCACAUCUGGAUCCCUCCCAGCUGUGGCAAGGACAACAUCUCUGACUUGGGAAAUUCAGCAGCAGCCACUGUAUUUUUCCUCUAAACUCCAUCAAACAUGCUGUCAGUUUAUUUCCAGGUGGUUGCAGAUUCUUCUGGUACAGAAGGUUCACAAAAUGUUCUGCGCAAUGACGUGAUUUAGGAUGUGGCAGAACUGUGGAAAAGCCUUACUGCAGGAUGUUUUGAGAGCACUCCUGCGGUUCCUCUCAGCAAUGGGGACUCCUGCUUGCUGUCCUGUCUCUGCAGCAGCGAGGACACCAGGUGGAGAUGGACCAGGGACCAGCACUGCGGGAUGGACUGUCGUGGUUGGGACAGACAAACGACAUAGACCAAGUUCAUCCAGGAUGAAAGUAGGAAUCCACGGACCCACAAUGGACCCAGAACCAGCACUAUGGGGUGGACCUGGGACCAGUGCUGCGGGAUGGACCAGGGACCAGCGCUGCAGGAUGGACCAGGGACCAGUGCUGUGGGGUGGACCAGGGACCAGCACUGCGGGAUGGACCCAGAACCAGCACUGCGGGAUGGACCAGGGACCAGCACUGCGGGAUGGACCCAGAACCAGCACUGCGGAAUGGACCAGGGACCAGCGCUGCGGGAUGGACCAGGGACCAGCGCUGCGGGAUGGACCAGGGACCAGCGCUGCGGAAUGGACCAGGGACCAGCACUGCGGGAUGGACCAGGGACCAGCGCUGCGGGAUGGACCAGGGACCAGCACUGCGGGAUGGACCAGGGACCAGCACUGCGGGAUUGACCUGCGAGGCAGGAGCUGAAUCUCUAAUUUAACCACAGUCUUUCUGUCACCGCAGUUCCCCAGCUGGAAAUAAGGAAGAAUGUUCUGCUAAAUGGGGUGUGAGUUAGGAGAGGGAAAUCAAUGAGUGAUUGUGAAGGAGCCUGAUGUGGUGGCAACGAUGGCCGGGUGCUCAGUGAGACAGGGUGCUCAGUGAGACAGGGUGCUCAGUGACACAGGGUGCUGAGUGAGACAGGGUGCUCAGUGAGACAGGGUGCUCAGUGACACAGGGUGCUGAGUGAGGCAGGGUGCUCAGUGAGACAGGGUGCUCAGUGAGGCAGGGUGCUGAGUGAGGCAGGGUGCUCAGUGAGACAGGGUGCUCAGUGACACAGGGUGCUGAGUGAGGCAGGGUGCUCAGUGAGACAGGGUGCUGACGUGGAGCUGAACGGGCGGCCGGAGACGUGCUCUAGCAGUAGGUCGGUCACGUACUCGAACAGGAGAACUCCUGCGCUGUGACGCUGUUUCUGCACUGCUGGGUUAGCUGUCUGUGUGUGCAGAAGGGAUCACCCCGAGGAAGAUCCGUAGCUGCCUUUAUGUUCCAUCUAGUACUGAGCACACUGGCAUAUCAUUAGCAGCCCUCCUUCACUACAGCGUCCUGGUGAUUAAAACCUCUUUAAUUACUCAAGGCCUCUUGAGAGACUUUUUCUAGAAAUUUAGCAAUGAACAUGAGGAAAUGUGUUACCUAGGCAGCUGAAAGAUUUUUGGGUUUUGUUUCUAAUCAAUCUAAGCAGUUAGAGACUAGUCACAAAGUGGAAAUAAUCUUUUGUCAUAUGUGAUGCUUUUAGGAUUUCAAAUUACUGACUAAUUAUCACUAAUUGAGAUGCGAACAGAGCAGCUGGAUGCUUGUUUUUGUGCUUGGACACUCCAAAAGAUGCGAGUGAUGUGUAUUUUUCCUGCCUUAUUUUUCAUGUCUAUUUUGUUUCUGUAAUCCGACAAUCAACAACUCUAACAAAUACUGAUCCUGGGACUGGGGGAAAGCCCAGAGUCGUACUUUGUGAUGUCUGUUAGUGAGCAUGGAAAUUCUUGCAGUGCUGUGUUUCAUUUUUAACAUAUUAUUGGAGUUUUGUUUUUCAGACCGACACCUAAUUAAUUUCAGGUAUGAGUAAAACCUUGAUGAGUGAACAUAAUUUUUUUUAAGUGCAAACAUUAUCUUCUCAUGAAUUGGCCUUCGUGGUAACCCAAAAGACGUUUGGAAAUACUAUGCAUGCUCACAUAUGAUGAAGAUGGCAUGCGGAGGAGCAAAGGAGAUGAUGUGAAUGAUUCAAAGGGGCUAGUAUGUAGCUACAUCAAGAUUUACACUUGUAUCUGACAGUUUGCUAGGAGUGUGUUGUAGAGAAGCAAAUGUUAUAAAAACUGGUGCUAAAUAGCCAGGCCAGGAGGCUUCUAAGCCCCUUUAGUUCUUUCACAAGAUAUAACGAAUGAAAAACACUAACUGCUAUCAUUCAGUGUCCCUAACCAUAGUAAGAACAUUAUAAAAAACUACAUUUGUUUUAACUUUCUUGCAUUUUAUUACAAGACACACAUUGAGACAGAUUUGUAGUACACUCCUACCAGUACCUGGGACUGCUGAGCAGCAAAGCCGCUACCUGAUUCAUUUGCUGGACUGGGAGACCUGAAAAGUUUUAGCCAUAAACAGGACGGGGCUGAAGAGUUCUGAAUGUUAGUUACAAAUUCCUUGCUCAUACUUUGCUACUUGCAACAGGUCCAUUCAGCACUCACAGUUUGUGAUCUGCAGGUCCCGCAGAGGCUCCGUUGUGCGAUGCUCCCGUGUCACACGCUGUCCCCAGCACCCAGGCCCUUACACGGGGCAUUCGAGAGGUUGUUAGAAAGCCAACUACCAGCUGUAGCAGGUGUCCUCCAUUAGACAUCAUGUGCAUCAAUUUAAUUGCCAAAUUUGGAAUAGGUUUGAAGAUAAAUUUUGUCAGCCAUCAACAGCUAUAGAUUUGCAUGAGGACAAGAACAUACCCUGGGAUUUCCAAGGCCUUCUGAAGCCAAAUCCUGCUGAAACCAAUAAUAUUGCUGAAGCUACUGAAUGAAGAGGAGAAGUGAACUGUGUAGGCAGCAGAUUUAACUGCUACUGAAAGGCUGGCAAAUACACAAUAGAAGUCUGUUUAUACGGACAAGCAGUGGAGCAGUGCUGGGCCCUGAUGGGGCUCCUUGGCUCAAGGACAGUUCGGCCCGUGCAUCUCACAGGUAACCAGCUUAACCCAGGAACCUGCCCAUCCUGGGAACCUGCCGAACCUGAGAACCUGCCCAUCCUGCGAACCUGCCGAACCUGAGAACCUGCUCAUCAUGAGAACCUGCCCAACCUGAGAACCUGCCCAUCCUGAGAACCUGCCAAACCUGAGAACCUGCUCAUCCUGAGAACCUACCCAACCUGAGAACCUGCCCAACCUGAAAACCUGCCCAUCAUGAGAACCUGACCAUUCUGAGAACCUGCCCAUCCUGAGAACCUGCCCAUCCUGAGAACCUGCCGAACCUGAGAACCUGCCCAACCAGGGAACCUGCACAACCUGGGAACCUGCACAACCUGAGAACCUGUGCUCAUGUUUCUCUCCUCGUUUCUAAGCUCAGAAUGUGCUCUCCUCACACCUCGCCUUUCAGGGCAUGCUGGGGUACACUUGUGAUUUUCGCAACAGAAAUGUCACUUAUGUUACUUAAAAGCUCCAGCAAAUCAAGAGGGUGGCACAAUCUCCAUGACUUCAGGGUUACAAAAUCCUGAUGGGCUCUUUCAGCCAGGCUCCCUCCAGCUGCUCUAAGUGCUUCUGAAGAUAAAUGCUGCAAUUUUCAAAGGGGCUUAAGGGAGUAGGUGCCUGAUCUCCUCGGAUUCCUUAGAAAAUCCCAUUUUUAAAGCUUUUGUAGCAUUAAAAUGUAAUCUGUUCUUCCCCCCACUUUUUUUUUUUUUUUACAGAAAAAGCAAAAGACUUUGUUUACUGAAAAUAAACUUCAAAAGCACAUAGUGUUUCAAGGUUUUUUUUCUUGUUCUUAAUAGCUAUGCAUUUUACAGUUCUUUAUGAAGUGUAACUAUUGAUUUGAAGAAGCAUGCAUGGAGGCGCUCAGCGAGGAGAUUGAAAAGAUAAUCCUAUUACACUCAAUCUGAUUGCACGAGUUACUGUCAUUUUAUUUUUUCUGAGGGAAGGUGUAAGGCUUUUAUAUGCAUGUGUGUAUAUCGGAGUGGAAAGCAACGUGCAGUAAUUAGAUAAAGUCAGCAAUAAUAAGAAACUGGAGCUUCCCAUUAAUCACUUCUUGAGCUAUUUUUGGUGUGAUUAUUUGUAAGGAAAUUAGGAAGAUCCGAACCAUUAAAGCUUAGCAAAAUACAGACCUACGCCCUAUAAAGAAUAAAUAACAAAAGGUAAAUAUGAAGUAUAUCCUCCUAAGCAAAAUGCUAUGCAGAACUGUCAUCUUUUAGCCUUACUCCAUAGUCCCUGGGGUCAGGGAAUCCUUGCUAGCAGCAAUGGCUAUUCCUGCCCCUUGCUCAUUUUUCCAAGCGUGUCUCAUUCACUUCACUGUCAUAUGUUUAUUUUACUAGUCAUUUUUAAAACAAAAGCCAAAAAUCACUGCAACAAACCCCAGAGGUACCUGUGGAAAAUGAGCGAGCAGGCUUAUAAUUACUGAUGUUGAAUGCUACCUCAUUUUCAGAUUAGUUCUGUUGAAUAAAUCUCACCGUGAAGGGAUAAGAUACUACUUAGUGUUCUGAAGUCAGAAUCUGAUUUGUAAUGAUGGGUUAGAGAGUAUUAACCAUUUGUAGGGUUUUUUUUUCUGAGGAAAAAGGACCGUACAGCAUUAAAGGUAAGUACCACCAUAUACUUAUGAAAAUUCUGCAACAAUUCUUC